rnacentral:rRNA from 1 species
AACGAGCGCUGGCGGCGCGCUUAACACAUGCAAGUCGAACGAGAAGGCGUAGCAAUACGCUUGUACAGUGGCGAACGGGUGAGUAAUACGUGGGCGACCUACCCUCGAGUGGGGAAUAACCCGCCGAAAGGCGGGCUAAUGCCGCGUACGCUUCCAUCUUUAUGGAGGUGGAAGGAAAGCCGUGCCGUGGGCACGGCGCUCAAGGAUGGGCUCACGUCCUAUCAGCUUGUUGGAGGGUAACGGCCUACCAAGGCUCCGACGGGUAGCUGGUCUGAGAGGACGAUCAGCCACACUGGCACUGCGACACGGGCCCAGA